rnacentral:rRNA from 1 species
CCUACGGGUGGCAGCAGUGAGGAAUAUUGGUCAAUGGACGAGAGUCUGAACCAGCCAAGUAGCGUGAAGGAUGACUGCCCUAUGGGUUGUAAACUUCUUUUGUCAAGGGACAAAAUCAGGCUCGAGAGCCUGACCGAGGGUACUUGAAGAAAAAGCAUCGGCUAACUCCGUGCCAGCAGCCGCGGUAAUACGGAGGAUGCGAGCGUUAUCCGGAUUUAUUGGGUUUAAAGGGUGCGUAGGCGGACUGUUAAGUCAGCGGUAAAAGCCCGGGGCUCAACCCCGGCGAGCCGUUGAAACUGGCUGUCUUGAGAUGUCGAGAGGUAUGCGGAAUGCGCAGUGUAGCGGUGAAAUGCUUAGAUAUUGCGCAGAACUCCGAUUGCGAAGGCAGCAUACCGGCGGCGAUCGGACGCUGAGGCACGAAAGCGUGGGUAUCGAACAGGAUUAGAUACCCCAGUAGUC